GGGGAAUCUUGGACAAUGGGCGCAAGCCUGAUCCAGCCAUGCCGCGUGAGUGAGGAAGGCCUUAGGGUUGUAAAGCUCUUUUGGCAGGGACGAUAAUGACGGUACCUGCAGAAUAAGCCCCGGCAAACUUCGUGCCAGCAGCCGCGGUAAUACGAAGGGGGCUAGCGUUGUUCGGAUUUACUGGGCGUAAAGCGCACGUAGGCGGAUUGUUAAGUCAGGGGUGAAAUCCCGGAGCUCAACUCCGGAACUGCCUUUGAUACUGGCAAUCUUGAGGCUGGAAGAGGUUGGUAGAAUUCCCAGUGUAGAGGUGAAAUUCGUAGAUAUUGGGAAGAAUACCAGUGGCGAAGGCGGCCAACUGGUCCAGAUCUGACGCUGAGGUGCGAAAGCGUGGGGAGCAAACA
rnacentral:rRNA from 1 species